UUCAUCCCUUUCUUCUCUCAUUACUCGAUUUAGGGUUUUCUAAUCUCGAAAGAAAUCAAGAUCCUCCUUCCUUCCUCUCUCGAUUUCGAUCUCGUAGCCCCUUUUGCGUUGAUUUCGAAUUCGUUCAUCAAUAGCUUUGUUUCUCUCUAGCUCCUAUCGAUCUCGCUAGCAAAUUAGGGUUUCGAGCGAGCUUAAUCCGAUCGGUUUCUGGAUCAGUUGAGAUGCGAUCGGAAUCUCUCUGAAUAAGAGAGACUCGUGUGGAGGGGUUUCUUCCUUUGUAUGGAAACUCGGAGCCGCAAGCGUGCGGAGGCGACCUCAACUGCCCCAUCUUCUUCUUCUUCGUCUCCUCCUCCUCCUCCCUCAGGUCCCACCACUCGCAGCAAACGCGCUCGCCUCUCGUCUCCCUCUUCCUCUUCAGCCGCCGCCGCUACCACCGCUACUGCACCUUCCUCCUCCACCCGCUCUCGUUCUUCUCGCUCUGCCGCUACCGCUACCGCUACAGCCGCCGUUACUCCCAUGGACACAUCCACCGAGUCUUCUGGAUUCCGCCGCGGCGGGGGACGAGGUAACAGGGGAAACGAUAAUACUAAUUCUGAUAAGGGAAAGGAGAAGGAGCAUGAGGUUAGGAUUAGGGAUAGAGAAAGAGACCGAGCCAGACAGCAGCUCAACAUGGACGCUGCAGCUGCUGCAGCCGCCGCCGCUGAAGAGGACGAUGACAAUGAUAGUGAGGAUGGCAACGGGGGAUUCAUGCAUCCCAACAUGAGCUCAGCCAGCAGUGCGUUACAAGGGUUGCUGAGGAAGCUUGGAGCUGGACUUGAUGACUUGCUUCCUUCUUCAGGUAUUGGCUCAGGUUCUUCCUCCCACUUAAAUGGGAGGAUGAAGAAGAUACUCGCUGGCUUGCGCUCUGAAGGAGAAGAGGGAAAGCAGGUCGAGGCUUUGACCCAGCUCUGCGAGAUGUUAUCCAUUGGCACCGAAGACUCCUUGAGCACCUUCUCUGUUGAUUCCUUCGUCCCCGUUCUUGUUGGUCUACUUAACCAUGAGAGCAAUCCGGAUAUUAUGCUUCUUGCUGCCAGGGCUCUUACCCAUCUGUGUGAUGUUUUGCCCUCUUCUUGUGCUGCUGUUGUUCAUUACGGGGCUGUUUCAUGCUUUGUCGCCAGAUUGCUAACCAUUGAAUACAUGGACUUGGCCGAGCAGUCUCUGCAAGCUCUCAAAAAGAUAUCUCAGGAACACCCAACGGCCUGUUUGCGAGCUGGUGCUCUUAUGGCAGUGCUAUCAUAUCUGGAUUUCUUCUCCACCGGUGUCCAGCGUGUAGCAGUCUCUACCGCUGCAAAUAUGUGCAAGAAGUUACCUUCUGAUGCAUCUGAUUAUGUUAUGGAAGCUGUACCGGUACUGACAAACCUACUUCAGUAUCAUGAUGCGAAGGUUUUGGAAUAUGCUUCUAUCUGUUUGACUCGGAUUGCCGAAGCAUUUGCAUCGUCCCCUGAUAAAUUAGAUGAAUUAUGCAACCAUGGCCUGGUGACUCAAGCUGCGACUCUUAUAUCCGCUAGCAACUCGGGAGGUGGGCAAGCAUCUCUUGGUGUUUCAACAUACACGGGAUUAAUCCGAUUACUUUCCACCUGUGCGAGCGGUUCACCUCUUGGGUGCAGGACAUUACUUCUUCUCGGUAUUAGUAGCAUUCUUAAGGAUAUUCUGUCGGGUUCUGGUGUCUCUGCUAAUGCAUCUAUAUCCCCAGCACUGAGCAGGCCUGCAGAUCAGAUUUUUGAGAUAGUCAACCUAGCGAACGAGCUCCUCCCUCCAUUGCCAGAAGGAAGUAUCUCCCUUCCUACUAGCGCAAACGCGUUAGUGAAAGGUUCAGGCCAAAAAAAUUCUUCUCCAAGUACUUCAGGAAAACAAGAAGAUUCUCCCAAAGUUUCACCUAGAGAAAAAUUACUUAGUGAUCAACCCGAACUUUUGCAGCAAUUUGGAUUGGAUCUUCUUCCAGUUUUAGUGCAGAUCUAUGGUUCUAGUGUCAAUGGUACUAUUCGUCAUAAAUGUCUCUCCGUUAUCGCAAAGUUGAUGUAUUUCAGCACUCCAGAAAUGAUUCAAUCUCUAAUUGGUGACACAAAUAUAUCGAGCUUCUUGGCUAGUGUCUUGGCAUGGAAAGAUCCACAAGUCUUGGUUCCUGCUCUACAAGUUGCAGAAAUUCUGAUGGAAAAACUUCCUGAAACUUUCUCGAAAGUGUUUGUGAGGGAAGGGGUGGUUCAUGCUGUAGAUCAACUUGUCUUGGUUGGUAAACCUAGUGCUAAUGCUUCUACUGAUCAGGAAAAUGACUGUGUGCCUGGAUCUGCACGAUCUAGGCGUUACAGACGGCGAAGUAGUAAUGCCAAUUCUGAUGGAAAUCAGUCGGAAGAGCUUAAGAAUUCUGUGUCAGCUAGCAUAGGUGCGACCCAUAAUUCCAUGGAAUCUCCUACAGCGAGCUUCAUGCUAAGGGAAACAGUUAGCUCCUGUGCAAAAGCAUUCAAAGACAAGCACUUCCCGUCUGAUGGUGGGGAAUUUGAUGUUGGAGUUACAGAUGAUCUCUUGCAUCUGAAGAAUCUUUGCACGAAGCUAACUGCUGGUACAAAUGAUCAUAAAGUGAAAGGAAAGGGGAAAUCUAAAGUCUCUGGGCCAUGCCUUGGCGAUUUUUCUGCUAGCAAAGAAGAAUACUUGAUUGGUAUCAUCUCCGAGAUACUUGGCGAGCUAAGCAAAGGGAUGGCGUCUCAACUUUUGAGUUUAUUGGCAGUGGUGUGGUAGCAGCAUUGCUUAACUAUUUUUCUUAUGGAUACUUUUCCAAAGAGAAGAUCUCCGAGGUUGAUUUGCCCAAACUUCGCCAGGAUGGGCUCAGAAGGUUCAAAGCUUUUCUAGAAAUUGCACUUCCUUCUGAUGGUAAUGAGGGAAAGAUCCCUCCUAUGACUGUUUUGAUUCAGAAACUUCAAGAUGCUUUGUCUUCACUGGAACGCUUUCCGGUCGUCCUUAGCCAUCCCUCAAGGUCACUCAGUGGAAGUGCUCGUCUCUCAUCUGGAUUGAGUGCUUUGGCACAUCCUUUGAAGUUGCGGUUAUGCCGUGCACCUGGAGAGAAGGCUCUACGUGAUUACUCCUCCAAUAUUGUUCUCAUAGAUCCAUUGGCAAGCAUAGCAGCAGUGGAGGAAUUUCUCUGGCCCCGAGUUCAACGCAGUGAAUCUGGGGUGAAGGCAGCAGCGCCUGCUGGAAACACUGAGCCAGGCACAUUACCUAGCGGUGCUGGUGUUUCAUCACCAUCCUCGUCAACUCCAGCUUCCACCACUCGUCAUUCUUCUAGAUCUAGAUCAGCAAUUAAAAUAGGCGAUGCCUCAAAGAAAGAACCUGUGCACGAGAAAGGUACCAGCUCAUCUAAAGGUAAAGGUGUUAUGAAGCCGGCUCAGCCGGAUAAGGGGCCUCAGACAAGGAGCAGUGCUCAAAGGAAAGCUGUUCUUGACAAAGAUACACUAAUGAAACCAGCUAGCGGAGACUCCAGCUCUGAGGACGAAGAAAUGGAUAUAUCCCCCGUCGACAUGGAUGAUGCUUUGGUGAUUGAAGAGGAAGACAUUUCUGACGACGAUGAUGAUGAUGAUGAGGAGGAUGUCUUGGAUGACAGUCUUCCCAUGUGCACCCCUGAUAAGGUUCAUGAUGUAAAAUUGGGAGACGCAGUGGAUGAUGAGGGAGCCGGCCUAGCACCUAGCGGCCGACAGAUGAAUUCAGCUUUGGCAGGAAGUAGUGGAACAGCAACUGCAAGGGGAUCUAAUUCUACUGAUGCUGGCAUUGGGAAUCUUUAUGGUUCUAGGGGUGCACUCUCCUUCGCUGCUGCGGCGAUGGCAGGGCUUGGAGCUGCCAGUGGUAGAGGUAUCAGGGGAGUAGAGACCUACAUGGGCGUACCCUGAAUCGAAGUUCUGAUGAGUCCUCUAAGUUGAUGUUUACUGCGGGAGGAAAGCAACUUAGUAGGCAUAUGACGAUAUAUCAGGCUGUGCAACGACAACUUAUGCUAGACGAAGAUGAUGAUGACAGGCUCGGUGGCAGCGAUUUCAUCUCGAGUGAUGGAAGCAGAUUAAAUGAUAUAUAUACUAUCAUGUACCAGAUGCCGGACAGCCAAGCGAAUAGGUUGUCUGCUGGUGGUGCAAGUUCUACCACACCAUCUAAAUCCACUAAAUCUGCUACUACUAAUGCAAGCGUAGAAGCCCAGUCGUAUAGGGCAUCUCUUUUGGAUAGUAUCGUACAAGGAAAGCUUCCAUGCGACCUUGAGAAGGCAAAUUCUACGUAUAAUGUUUUGGCGUUGUUGCGUGUACUAGAGGGUUUAAAUCAGCUUGGCCCUCGGUUAAGAGCCCAAACCAUUUCUGAUCGUUUCGCAGAGGGUAAAAUUACAAGUCUAGAUGAUCUGAAUACAACUGCUGCAAAGGUUUCUCAUGAAGAAUUCAUCAACAGCAAACUUACACCCAAAUUAGCUCGACAGAUCCAGGACGCGCUUGCUUUGUGCAGUGGAAGUCUUCCCUCUUGGUGCUACCAGUUGACUACAGCAUGCCCGUUUUUGUUUCCGUUUCAGACCCGGAGACAGUAUUUCUAUUCAACUGCCUUUGGGUUGUCGCGUGCAUUGAACCGCUUGCAGCAGCAGCAAGGUGCUGACGGCAGUGGUUCUACAAAUGAACGAGAGAUGAGAAUAGGGAGAUUGCAGCGCCAGAAAGUGCGUGUAUCCCGAAAUAGAAUAUUAGAUUCUGCUGCGAAAGUUAUGGAGAUGUAUUCUAGCCAAAAAGCUGUGCUUGAAGUAGAAUAUUUUGGUGAAGUUGGUACUGGUCUAGGCCCCACACUUGAGUUUUACACACUCCUAAGCCAUGAUUUGCAAAAGGUUUCCCUUGGGAUGUGGAGAUCAAAUUCUGGUGACAAGUUAUCUAUGCAAACUGAUAGAGAUGAGAUUCAAGACGGUAAAUCAGCAGCAGCUAGGGACAGAGAUAUAGUUCAGGCACCAUUUGGGUUGUUCCCUCGGCCCUGGCCCUCAACUGCUGACGUAUCUGAAGGUAGUCGGUUUCAUAAAGUUGUUGAAUAUUUCCGCCUUUUAGGGCGCGUGAUGGCAAAGGCACUUCAAGAUGGACGGCUAAUGGACGUCCCGUUAAGUACAGCUUUUUAUAAGCUCAUUCUUGGUCAAGAGCUUGAUUUGCAUGAUGUUAUAUUAUUUGAUGCUGAACUUGGCAAGACUUUGCAAGAGCUUCGUGUUCUUGUUGGCCGUAAGCACUAUCUGGAAGCAGAAGGUGGUGACAACAGUAGCGUGAUUUCUGAUUUAUGUUUACGUGGAUCCCGUAUUGAAGAUCUUUGCUUGGACUUCACCCUACCUGGCUAUCCUGAAUACAUAUUGAGACCAGGAGAUGACAUUGUUGAUAUUAAUAGUCUUGAGGACUAUAUAUCCCUGGUCGUUGAUGCCACUGUCAAGAGAGGAGUUGCCCGGCAGAUUGAAGCCUUCAGAUCUGGAUUCAAUCAGGUCUUUGACAUAAAAUCUUUACAAGUAUUCACCCCUUCUGAGCUGGACUACUUGUUAUGUGGUCGUAGAGAGUUGUGGGAGGCGGAGACUCUUGUUGAACAUAUCAAGUUUGAUCACGGUUAUACUGCAAAAAGUCCGGCAAUCAUUUUCUUACUGGAGAUCAUGGGAGAGCUUACAGCAGAUCAACAGCGUGCUUUCUGCCAGUUUGUAACUGGAGCUCCUAGGCUUCCUCCUGGUGGCUUAGCUGUUCUCAACCCAAGCUGACGAUUGUGAGAAAGCUCUCAUCAACCUCAAAUGCGGCGGCUGCCAAUGGGACAGGGGCUUCGGAAACAGCAGACGACGAUCUUCCCAGCGUCAUGACUUGCGCCAACUACCUUAAGCUCCCUCCUUAUUCUACAAAGGAAAUCAUGUACAGAACUGCUCUACGCGAUCAACGAAGGGCAGGGAUCGUUCGACCUCUCCUAGGCGUCUCUCUCUGUUGUCGCUGCGGCUAGAAACCACAACCCUCUCUCUUCUUUGUACAUUUUACAUCGGAAGACUCUGAUUUUGCACUUUGAAUGUUAUUUCUAUUAAACCAUGAAUUUAUUAAAAUUAGGUUCAAUAUUUUUCAUGUGCAAGUAAUAUAUUAUUAAAACAUGGAAGAUAAAAAUAAAAUCAAAAGACAAACUUGAAUAA